rnacentral:lncRNA from 1 species
UCUCUCCUAAAUGACAUAAUAUGCUUACGUAGCUCCAAGAUGAGCUAUUCCCCCUAACAUAGCUAUUAAAUGACCUAUAAUUAACUUAGCUAGCUCCAAAAUAGCUUAAUAAGCAUAGUUAGCUCAAAAAUGACCUACUUUUACCUAAGUAGCUCCAAAAUGACAUAUACUUAGCUUCAUUUCGUCCUAAAUAACAUAAUUAGCUUAGUUAGCUUCAAAAUGGCAUAUUUAAUAAAAAAUGACCUAUACUUAGCUAAGUUCUCUCCUAAAUGACAUAAUAAGGCUUAUGUACUUCCAAGAUAACCUAUUCCCCCUAACUUAGAUAUUAAAUGGCCUAUAAUGUGCUUAGCUAGCUCCAAAUGGCAUAAUAAGCAUAGUUAGCUCCAAAAUGACCUAUUUUACCAAUGUUAGCUCCGAAAUGACCUAUAGUUAGCUAGGCUUCCACCUAAAUGACAUAAUUAGCUUAGUUAGCUCCAAAAUUGCCUAUUUAAUAAAAAAAUGACCUAUACUUAGGUAAGUUCCCUCAUGAAUGACAUAAUAAGGCUUACGUAGCUCCAAGAUGAGCUAUUCCCCCUAACUUAGCUACUAAAUGGCCUAUAAUUAGCUUAGCUAGCUCCAAAAUGGCUUAAUAAGCAUAGUUAGCUCCGAAAUGACAUAUUUAACCCAAGUUAGCUCUAAAAUGACCUAUAGUUAGCUAGGCUUCCACCUAAAUUACAUAAUUAGCUUAGUUAGCUCCAAAAUUGCCUAUUUAAUAAAAAAUGACAAAUACUUAGCUAAGUUCUCUCCUAAAUGAAAUAAUACGGCUUACGUAGCUCCAAGAUGACCUAUUCCCCCUAACUUAGCUAUUAAAUGGCCUAUAAUUUGCUUAGCUAGCUCCCAAAUGGCUGAAUAAGCAUNNN